AUGAACGCUGGCGGCGUGCCUAAUACAUGCAAGUCGAGCGAACGGACGAGAAGCUUGCUUUUCUGAUGUUAGCGGCGGACGGGUGAGUAACACGUGGAUAACCUACCUAUAAGACUGGGAUAACUUCGGGAAACCGGAGCUAAUACCGGAUAAUAUUUUGAACCGCAUGGUUCAAAAGCGAAAGACGGUCUUGCUGUCACUUAUAGAUGGAUCCGCGCUGCAUUAGCUAGUUGGUAAGGUAACGGCUUACCAAGGCAACGAUGCAUAGCCGACCUGAGAGGGUGAUCGGCCACACUGGAACUGAGACACGGUCCAGACUCCUACGGGAGGCAGCAGUAGGGAAUCUUCCGCAAUGGGCGAAAGCCUGACGGAGCAACGCCGCGUGAGUGAUGAAGGUCUUCGGAUCGUAAAACUCUGUUAUUAGGGAAGAACAUAUGUGUAAGUAACUGUGCACAUCUUGACGGUACCUAAUCAGAAAGCCACGGCUAACUACGUG
rnacentral:rRNA from 1 species